rnacentral:rRNA from 1 species
AAUAGAUACCCGGGUAGUCCACGCCGUAAACGAUGAGUGCUAAGUGUUAGAGGGUUUCCGCCCUUUAGUGCUGAAGUUAACGCAUUAAGCACUCCGCCUGGGGAGUACGGCCGCAAGGCUGAAACUCAAAGGAAUUGACGGGGGGCCCGCACAAGCGGUGGAGCAUGUGGUUUAAUUCGAAGCAACGCGAAGAACCUUACCAGGUCUUGACAUCCUCUGACAACCCUAGAGAUAGGGCUUCUCCUUCGGGGGGCAGAGUGACAGGUGGUGCAUGGUUGUCGUCAGCUCGUGUCGUGAGAUGUUGGGUUAAGUCCCGCAACGAGCGCAACCCUUGAUCUUAGUUGCCAUCAUUCAGUUGGGCACUCUAAGGUGACUGCCGGUGACAAACCGGGAGGAAGGUGGGGAUGACGUCAAAUCAUCAUGCCCCUUAUGACCUGGGCUACACACGUGCUACAAUGGACGGUACAAAGAGCUGCAAGACCGCGAGGUGGAGCUAAUCUCAUAAAACCGUUCUCAGUUCGGAUUGAGGUCUGCUAACG